rnacentral:lncRNA from 1 species
CCUCAUAUUCUCUUUCUGAGCCUUGUAGUCUCCUUUCAUAUGUCCGACCACCAAUUAUGAGUUACUACAGAUCUUCAGCUCCCGCAUCCUAAGUUCUUUUGUAAUUUUUAGCCCAACGAUAAAAGCUUCAUAUUUAGCCUCAUUAUUGAUGAUUGAAAACUCAAAAUGCAAGUCAUAUUUUGCAACAGUUCUCUUUGGUCUAGUGAGGAUUAGUCCAGCUCC